GUGCUUGCUUCAGCAGCACAUAUACUAAAAUUGAUACAGAGAAGAUUAGCAUGGCCCCUGAGCAAGGAUGACACACAAAUUCGUGAAGCAUUCCAUAUUUUU
ensembl:snRNA U6 U6 spliceosomal RNA